UUCUCUCUGGAACCUUCUGGUUCUCUCUCUUCUCCGAUGAAGCCACCGCCUCUCCGACCACCUCCACCCUCACUUCUCUCGACCACCAGUCACCAUGGAACCAUAUAUCAUUGAUUCUCUAUAGCUUCGAGACUACAGAGGCUUCCACCAUGCAAGAUGGUCAGCAGAGGCCUUGCUCGGCUUCUCUCCGGCCUUUCUCCGAUGGGUUUUAGUCAGAUGGUACUACGAAUGUCAUUAUUAACGAGUUUCACAGCCAGAUUUCUUACCUCUCACUGGUUUCUUACGAAACCCUAAUUUCUACCUAGACCGCUUAAUAUCUGUCUUUUAAGAUGUUUUUAGCUUAUUCAUUUGUGUUUUACACUACUCUCUACUCGAU
rnacentral:lncRNA from 1 species